AGCCUCUGGGAGAUAGAGUCAGAUUCUGGGAGACUCUCAGCGAAACCGGGAGGGUGGGCAACCCUACUUCAGGGAAAACACCAAAGAUCACAAGUCUUGUGAGAAAAUCUCAUUGGCAACACCGACUAGUGCCCUUUCACACUCUGCAGUAGCUGGCUUGACAUAGCUGACUAUAGAGUUGGGCCUCACUCAAACACGUGCUGAUAGAAAGGCGGUGAAGGAAGGCAUCAGUGACAGCCCUGGGAGCUCCUGCCAACACAGCCCCGGCAGAGGACUCUGUGGCAGAAAAAGUGCAGUGGGCUCAGUUCCCCAUCCAAGCAGAUACUGCAGAGG